GGAUGCCGAGUCUGUUGGCAGUUGGGUGGUGGCCAUCUUAGAAGGAUGAGGAGAGUGGAACAGCACCUUGGAGCAGAAGGGGCUGAGGUGUACCUAACCUGAUUUGAUGGGGUCCUCGGAGGAGGCUCCUAAUCUGACAGGGACAAAGGUGGUCCAUCCUCUGGCAAGGCAGCUGGUGAGGAGGAAGAGAAGCACCUUAUCAGAGUCAAGCACCUGACAGAGAGAGUCUAAGGAGUGGCCUUGUGAAGAUUGACAGUUGCGGGCGGAGCACAGACACAAGCACUAGCCCCUUGUUCAGCCUGUAAUAGGGAAAGCAAGUCCGGGGCUGCAGCAAUAUAGUGAUGGACAGCACCUGGCCGGACCGCCUAAUGGAGGGAAGCGUCCAGCAUUAUACAAACAUCGGCUGACAGCUGCUGACAAUAACUGCAGGAGAGCAUGCCACAAGUGGUCAACAGAGAUGUUGUUACGACAGAAAUGGGAAAAGCACCAAUUAUAUUCAGAAGAUAAAAUGGCGACAAUAGGAAAUCCAGGGACCGUUUCCUGCAUGUAUCUAUAUUUCUAUGGUAUAAAAGUACCAAUAUUGCGAUCCCUCCACACUAUCUUGAGAAAGUCCAAAAUUGGUUGAAAUGCAUGGCUAUGGAGGAGAUGAUCCGGAACCCUUACCAGGAGAGAGGAGGAGGAACCCUGUGUGGAGCUGAGGCAUUCCUGAAACCCUGAACUUCAGUAACUACAGGCAGUUUUUUUCCAAAUUCUGGUAGGAGGCCAUCUUCACCAUUAUUUGGUGUAUUAUGCCUGCUGUUGGGAAUACAACCUUGUUUGCAUACAAGGAUAUUUCCUUAUCUCUUUUUGAUUGAAGAACAUUUAUUCAAAUAAAUUAUUCUUGUAUACAUUGGUACCAGGAGAAA